rnacentral:rRNA from 1 species
GACGAACGCUGGCGGCGGGCUUAACACAUGCAAGUCGAACGGAAAGGCACCGCGUGUGUGGGGUGCUCGAGGGGCGAACGGGGGAGUAAGAGGUGAGCAACCUGCUCUUCACUUUGGGGUAGGUUCAGGAAACUGGGGUUAAUAUAGUACAGGAGCCCCCCUUCCAUGGAGGGGGUUGGAAAGUCUCGGCGGGUGGGGAUGGACUCGCGGCUGAUCAGCUUGUUGGUGGGGUAGUGGCUUACCAAGGCUUUGACGGGUAGCCGGCAUGAGAGGGUGACCGGCCACAUUAGUACUGAGGUACGGAGCAGACUGCUACGGGAGACAGCGGGGGGAAGUAUUGUACAGUGGGAGGGAGCCUGAUGCAGCGACGCCGCGUGCGGAAAGACGGCCUUUGGGUUAUGAACCGCUUUCGCCUGUGACGAAGCGGGAGUGACGGUACUGGAUAAAGAAGCACCGGCUAACUACGUG